ensembl:snRNA U6 U6 spliceosomal RNA
GUGUUUGCUUUGGUAGCACAUAUUCUAAAACUGGAAUGAUACAAGGAAGAUUAGCAUGGUCCCUGAGCAAAGAUGACAUGCAAAUCUGUGAAGCAUUCCGUAUUUUU